rnacentral:lncRNA from 1 species
AGUGGGCGGCGACGCCGGCAGCUGGGACGAGGAGGGCCUCCUGGUCACCCUUCUGGGGGCCCGUACUGUCAUGCCUCAGAGCUGGCAAGUCGUCCCAGGGAAGACAACGGCCUUCCUGGAGGGAGGGAACCUUGUGGUUAGGCGCAUGGGGUGCGAAGCAGGGCCUCUACUUGGCCGACGCAGCUAGAAGACUAAGGUCAGGGGCAUUCUGGAUGCAGCCCACAAAGCUAGCUCUCUGUGGCACUGAGCAAGUGGGAGGACUCAGAUGGCACCCCUGUCUCUAAGGAUUGGCUGGGGAUCUUCACAUUUCAUCCAUCAUUUCAUCACAGAUCAUCUCAGCCUCUCCUGAACUGUGACCAACUGGCUUACUCAAGGGACUGGAUCUGCUGUCCCGACAUGAUGGCAAGCUGCAGCACAUCAUGCAGAUUAAAGUUCAGCCUGCCUCAGACUCAGGAUAAAAACACAUUUGGGACAGUCUCGCUCAGCCUCAUUGCAGAGACAAGAAAUGUAUGAAAAGAAAGUACAGAGAAAAAAAAAGAAUGGAAUACACAUGAAUGCCGAACCACAUUGGAUAUGUAGCUGUUCAUGAAGAUAUUCCAGGGAAGGCCUAUCUAGUAGAGCCUCAAAUCUAUUUGAAUACAAAUGGCACUCAUUAAGGACAUCUGUCUUCUGUAAUGUCUACACAAAGUCUUACCGGGGUCUUCUUGGCUCUUAUUGACGGCUGAUGAAGGAGGGGUUUAUAAAGAAAACAAGCCAAAACCUGAAUAACUUGCUACUGAGAGCAGCACACAUAUUUUCCCAAAGUGCAAAGUUGAGAAGAAGUACAAAGCUUUGUUAAUAUUCUGAACAGUACUGCUUAGUAUGAUCUAAUUGAUGGAUUUUCCAUGGACUCCCUAGAGACUGAAAAAGGUUUGACUGUCAGGAAACUUUUCUUGUGUUUAUUCUUCAAUUUUCCUUUUCCUACUUUCCAAUCAUCAUUCCCUAUUAACAUCCCUUGAUGGGUCACCUUAAGUGAUUAUUCUUUUUAAUGGCAUUUAUAACGUUUAAUAUUUCCCUGUUAAUUUCUAUUCCGACAAAGUACAUAUUUUUUUAAUCUUCACUCAUAACAUUAAUAAAUUUUUCCAACAUUUUAAAGCUCAGUUAACAUUUCCUUAUAUAUGCCUCUGUCUUUAAAAUAUGAGAUCUGAAUGUACUGGUAUCACUAGAAUUAUCUACAGAGUUCUAAUGUGAUGGAAAUUGUGCUACAAAAAUUUGUUCUUACAUAAUUUGCUUCAACGGAAUUCCUCCUGAACUAAAUACUUAGUCUUUACAUUCUUUAAAAUAACUAAAAUUUCCCAGAGGAAAGUCUGAAUUGUUCAUUUAACCUUGUGUGAUGUGUGCUGUGUGUAGCUGAAACAGCAAAGUGGACACACCUGCACCCUUAACAUUUUUGACUUUUUUUUUUUUUUUUUUAAAGAAUCAAGUUUCGUUUUUGUCACCCAAGCUGGAGUGCAGUGGUACAAUCUCCGGUCACUGCAACCUCCGCCUCCCGGGUUCAAGCGACUCUCCUGCCUCAGCCUCCCAAGUGGCUGGGAUUACAUGUGUGCACCACAAAGCCUGGGUAUUUUUUUUUUUUCAUUUUUAGUAGAGACGUGGUUUCACUAUGUUGGGCAGGCUGGUCUUGAACUCCUGAACUCAGGUGAUCCUUCCCCGCUAGGCCUCCCAAAGUGCUGGAAUUUCAGGCCUGAGCCACAGCACCUGGCCAACUGUGACUCAUUUUUAAAGCGGUUUGGCAAUAAUGCUAUAUACGUAUAAUGGUUUUGAAUAAAAUAUACAACUAUACAUGGCCUGUUAUCUUCUUAUUUUAGACAGAAUAAUCUUAGUCUUGUACUUUCAUGUAUUAGGCUGAUAGCCAUGAGAUUUGGGGAGGAAAAAAAUAGGAUAAAAUAGGACUCACUCAUUUCAAGAAAUAGAGUUAGUUUUCUAUGCAAGCAUUUUCUCCCCUUCUCCUUAGCCCACCAAAGUGGUAAAUGAGACUUCCAGCCAUGAGGCUGUUUGCACCUCUGUCUGGGAGGAGACUUCUGGAGCUUUGGUUGCUGCUAAUGACUUGGAGGGGCUUUGAAGGCCCCCUUGAAGAUGUCACGCAUGACCUCUGGACCCUUGGUAUCUUUCAAGAAUCCUUAUGAGAUACUAACUCAUUUCGUUUAUAAUAGGUGAAAACAGAUCAUGUAUUUUUAAACCAGAUAAUGCCUAAGUUAUAUUACUCUAGAAUUCAUAGAAAAAAUAAAAUAGCCGAGAUCUUUAAAAAGACUGUAAUGUGGUAUUAGUGGACUGUCUUUUUUUUUGUUUAUGGAGAGAAAAAAAUUAUUUGUAAGUUUUUUUUUAAUUUAUUAUUGUUAUACUUUAAGUUUUAGGGUACA